rnacentral:rRNA from 1 species
GGAGUUAGCCGGUGCUUCUUCUGCGAGUAACGUCACAGAUGUAAGGUAUUAACUUACACCCUUUCCUCCUCGCUGAAAGUGCUUUACAACCCGAAGGCCUUCUUCACACACGCGGCAUGGCUGCAUCAGGGUUUCCCCCAUUGUGCAAUAUUCCCCACUGCUGCCUCCCGUAGGAGUCUGGGCCGUGUCUCAGUCCCAGUGUGGCUGAUCAUCCUCUCAGACCAGCUAGGGAUCGUCGCCUAGGUGAGCCUUUACCUCACCUACUAGCUAAUCCCACCUGGGCUUAUCCAUCAGCGCAAGGCCCGAAGGUCCCCUGCUUUCCCCCGUAGGGCGUAUGCGGUAUUAGCAGUCGUUUCCAACUGUUAUCCCCCACAAAUGGGCAAAUUCCCAGGCAUUACUCACCCGUCCGCCGCUCGUCAUCUUCAAAAGCAAGCUUUUGAAAUGUUACCGCUCGACUUGCAUGUGUUAGGCCUGCCGCCAGCGUUCAAUCUGAGCANGANACAACUACUGA